rnacentral:tRNA from 1 species
GACAGCGUGUCCGAGUGGUUAAGGAGGUGGACUCGAAAUCCACUAAGCUCAGCCUGCGCAGGUUUGAAUCCUGCCGCUGUCA